rnacentral:misc_RNA from 1 species
ACUACAAAGAUAACCUGAAAAGAUGCCCCAAGUCUUCAGCUUUUUGGUUCUGCCGGUUCCUUUCUUCGAAGCCAUUACACUUAUGUGGUCUUCUACUACAUUCAUGCAAGAUCCCCAAGAUUUCUCCAGAGGCUAGCGAGUUCAAAUAGCAUGUGCUUUCUAGAGGUUCCACAUCUGUGUGACUUGCGUGUUUUUUAGUUGAAUAAUAUCACUAGGCUGCUGCUCAGAUCCGGCCGGUGACUUUGUGUUUGCGAUAAAAAUUGUGGUGAUCCGUGCCCUGGUUGUUUUCAUUGUUCUAAAAUAUGUAAUGCAUUAUGUACUGGUAUUGUGUCUUUGAAAUCAAUUUUAUUAUCCUUUAAAAA